GACGAACGCUGGCGGCAUGCCUAACACAUGCAAGUCGAACGGAGAUUAUUUCGGUAAUCUUAGUGGCGAACGGGUGAGUAACGCGUGGGCAACCUGCCCUCUAGAUGGGGACAACAUCCCGAAAGGGGUGCUAAUACCGAAUGUGACAGCAAUCUCGCAUGAGGAUGCUGUGAAAGAUGGCCUCUAUUUAUAAGCUAUCGCUAGAGGAUGGGCCUGCGUCUGAUUAGCUAGUUGGUGGGGUAACGGCCUACCAAGGCGAUGAGCAGUAGCCGGUCUGAGAGGAUGAACGGCCACAUUGGGACUGAGACACGGCCCAGACUCCUACGGGAGGCAGCAGUGGGGAAUCUUCCGCAAUGGGCGAAAGCCUGACGGAGCAAUGCCGCGUGAGUGAUGAAGGAAUUCGUUCCGUAAAGCUCUUUUGUUUAUGACGAAUGUGCAGAUUGUGAACAAUGAUCUGUAAUGACGGUAGUAAACGAAUAAGCCACGGCUAACUACGUG
rnacentral:rRNA from 1 species